rnacentral:tRNA from 1 species
AAGAAGUUAGUUAACCAAAUUAUAACCUUUGUUUGUCAUACAAAAAUCAUCUAAAUUAAGAUACUUCUUA